ACGGAGGGUGCAAGCGUUAUCCGGAUUCACUGGGUUUAAAGGGUGCGUAGGUGGAUUAGUAAGUCAGUGGUGAAAUCUCCGGGCUUAACCCGGAAACUGCCAUUGAUACUAUUAGUCUUGAAUUAUCUGGAGGUAAGCGGAAUAUGUCAUGUAGCGGUGAAAUGCUUAGAUAUGACAUAGAACACCCAUUGCGAAGGCAGCUUACUACGGAUACAUUGACACUGAGGCACGAAAGCGUGGGGAUCAAACAGGA
rnacentral:rRNA from 1 species